UACCAGCUCUCCGAGUGGUGUGGAUGUUUAUUGGGCCUAAAGCAUCCGUAGCUGGCUGGACAAGUCCCCUGUUAAAUCCACCGAUUUAAUCGUUGGAGUGCGGGGGAUACUGUUCGGCUAGGGGACGGGAGAGGCAGACGGUAUUUCCGGGGUAGGGGUGAAAUCCUAUAAUCCCGGGAAGACCACCAGUGGCGAAGGCUGUCUGCUAGAACGCGCCCGACGGUGAGGGAUGAAAGCUGUGGGAGCGAACCGGAUUAGAUACCCGGGUAGUCCCAGCUGUAAACGAUGCAGGCUAGGUGUUUGGACGGCCACGUGCCGUUCUAGUGCCGCAGGGAAGCCGUUAAGCCUGCCGCCUGGGGAGUACGGCCGCAAGGCUGAAACUUAAAGGAUUGGCGGGGAGCACACAAGGGUGAAGCUUGCGGUUU
rnacentral:rRNA from 1 species